ensembl:lncRNA
UUAAAGGUGCAAUCUGGGAUAUUUGCUGUUUAAUAUUUGGUGGUGGGCUAAUGUUGAGCUUUAACACAAAUCCCAGAUUGUAUCUUUAAGGUCCAAGCUGCCCUAAACUGCUGUUGUCAUGUUCAUUAGGGGACACAAUGGAAAACAUUUAAAUGUUGUGCAAUGGAAAAAGAAAACGGGCAUUUCAUAUUGGACAAGUCCAGGUGGUAGGUGGUAGGUCUAGGUGGUAGGUCCAGGUGGUAGGUGGUAGGUCCAGGUGGUAGGUGGUCGGUCCAGGUGGUAGGUGGUCGGUCCAGGUGGUAGGUGGUAGGUCCAGGUGGUAGGUGGUAGGUCCAGGUGGUAGGUGGUAGGUCCAGGUGGUAGGUGGUCGGUCCAGGUGGUAGGUGGUAGGUCCAGGUGGUAGGUGGUCGGUCCAGGUGGUAGGUGGUAGGUCCAGGUGGUAGGUGGUAGGUCCAGGUGGUAGGUGGUAGGUCUAGGUGGUAGGUCCAGGUGGUAGGUGGUAGGUCCAGGUGGUAGGUGGUAGGUCCAGGUGGUAGGCUAGUCCCUCACUGUUUAAUUUUUAUUUUAUUUUUUAUUAUUUUUUUUUUUAUCACCUUUAUUUAACCAGGUAGGCCAGUUGAGAACAAGUCCUCAUUUACAACUGUGACCUGGCCAAGAUAAAACAAAGCAGUGCGACACAAACACAGACAGAGAUAAAACAUGGAAUAAACAAACGUACAGUCAAUAACACAAUAGAAAAGUCUAUAUACAGUAUGUGCAAAUUAAGUAAGAUUAGGGAGGUAAG